UCUCUCUCUCUCUCUCUCUCUCUCUCUCUCUCUCUCUCUCUCUCUCUCUCUCUCUUCGUUUUUUUUUUUAAAUCUUUCAUUCUCAGCUUCGUAUUCCUCCCAAGUUUUCUCGACCCAUCCUCUAUUCUCUCUCUCCAUCUCGCGACUCUCGAUUUCUCUUCAUCUUGCUGGAUAACUCUGUCUCUCUCUCUCUCUCUCCGUUUUUGAAUUUAUGUAUUAUUUUAUUUAUGAAUUUGAUGAUCUGUGAUUUUUGUUUGCAGAAGAAGGAAAAUAUUACUCCGAUUGGCUUAAAGAUCGUGGUAAUUUCUACUCCAUGUCUUUUUGCUUUUCAACUCCUCCUCACCCAUUGUUGUUGGUGUUGGUGUCGCAGUGGUGGUGAGAGAUCGACGGAAGAUGGAAGAUGGAGAAAAAGUUUUGUCUCUCUGUUGGAUAACUGGAUAAGACCGACAGGUAAGGGGGUGAGGCUUGAUUAAAAAAUAUAUAUAUUUAUGUAAGUUCUUGCUAGCUAGCUUCAUCAUCAAGAGCUCCACACCUUAAACAUCAAUCAAAACAUGGAUGUCGCUUUUGCUUAUAGCUUCGGAUUCUCCCUUGUCAUCGUCGCUGUUAUCAUAACGAUGGCCGUGGCUUCUUACUACUACACCCGCAAGUAUUCAGGCUCUGAAACUUCCAACGGCAACGUCUCCCUUACCACCACCGGAGAUAUUGGUAGCUCCCGCUCCGUGGUGAUCGAAGUUAUUGGCCUCAACGAAGCCGCUCUUCAUAGGUUCCCGAAGUUGCUUUACUCUCAAACCAAACUCAACAAGGCUAGUGACUCCACUACUUCUGCCUGCUGCUCCAUAUGUUUACCACUGAGACUUUAAAAUAUCAAUAGAAAUCUUAACAGGAUCCUUUUUAUUAAAAAAAAAAAAGAAGGUGCAUUAUUUUCUCUCAAAAUUUUCUUGGAAGUUUCAUGUACAAGCGUUCAUUAGAGAUGACUUUUCUUCUUUUCUCACUGUUUUUUGGAGGGGAAAUCGCAUUGAUAGUAGUGGGUAGGUGAGAUAUAUUACCCAAAGGUCUAUUUUUCUUCAAUUGUUUUUGGCGUGUGUUACCCACCAUGAUGACAAAAGGGACCCUUUAAAAGCUUGCUAUUGACAUGUUACCCAACGUCUCUUAAUUCAUACAUAGCUCUAUUAUUGUUUUUUUUUUUAAAUCCUACUUUAGUAGGUUUAGAGACUAUAAUUUGAGAGAAAGAGAUUAAGCUUAAUCCAUUGUUUAAUUAACAACAUGUCAUAUCCCCAAUCCAAUCUCUUUCUUUCGAGAAGACUUUUUCUCUCGGCCUCCGCGAUUAGCAUGAGAUUUGAGACUUUAUCAAAAGUUUUUUAUUUUUUAUUUUUCAGUAGUACGGUGAUACAUGA